UAGCUCAGUUGGUAGAGCAGUUGACUUUUAAUCAAUUGGUCGCAGGUUCGAAUCAACGUGAAGGAUAACGUUGCGUCAGCAACGGCCCGAAGGGCGAGGCAAAGCCGAGUCAUCCUGCACGACCUACCA
rfam:Klebsiella pneumoniae subsp. pneumoniae DSM 30104 Contig0007, whole genome shotgun sequence.